CUAGCGACUUCAGAGUUUGAUCCUGGCUCAGGACGAACGCUGGCGGCGUGCCUAACACAUGCAAGUCGAACGAGAAUCGACGGAUUGAGACUUCGGUUGAUUGAAGUUGAGGAAAGUGGCGAACGGGUGAGUAACGCGUGAGAAACCUGCCUUUCAGUGGGGGACAACAGUUGGAAACGACUGCUAAUACCGCAUAACGUAUCGAGGGGGCAUCCUCUUGAUACCAAAGCUUUAUGUGCUGAAAGAUGGUCUCGCGUCUGAAUAGCUUGUUGGCGGGGUAACGGCCCACCAAGGCGACGAUCAGUAGCCGGUCUGAGAGGAUGAACGGCCACAUUGGGACUGAGAUACGGCCCAG
rnacentral:rRNA from 1 species